rnacentral:rRNA from 1 species
UACGGAGGGGGCUAGCGUUGUUCGGAAUUACUGGGCGUAAAGCGCGCGUAGGCGGACCUGCAAGUCGGGGGUGAAAGCCCGAGGCUCAACCUCGGAACUGCCUUCGAUACUGCAGGUCUCGAGUCCGGGAGAGGGUAGUGGAAUUCCCGGUGUAGUGGUGAAAUGCGUAGAUAUCGGGAGGAACACCAGUGGCGAAGGCGACUACCUGGCCUGUUCUUGACGCUGAGGCGCGAAAGCUAGGGGAGCAAACGGGG